rnacentral:rRNA from 1 species
UACGUAGGUGGCAAGCGUUGUUCGGAAUUAUUGGGCGUAAGGGCGCGUAGGCGGUCUUGUAAGUCAGCUGUGAAAGCCCGGGGCUCAACCCCGGAGGGUCGGCUGAUACUGCAGGACUGGAGUACGGAAGAGGUAGCUGGAAUUCCCGGUGUAGCGGUGAAAUGCGUAGAUAUCAGGAGGAACACCAAUUGCGAAGGCAGCUCGCUGGGACGUUACUGACGCUGAGACGCGAAAGCGUGGGGAGCAAACAGG